ACAACAUCACAUUAGUUCAUCACAUACAUUACCCUCAAUCAAAAGUAACCCACUCACAAAAAGAAAACCCUAAAAGCUAAGUAACCCGCGCCGUCCUCCAACAAAUCUCCAUGACCGUUCAUCGUUCAUCGCUCAUCGCCUUCGUCUUCAUCCUCAAUCAACAUCUCCGUGACCUUCUCAGCCAUGCCUUAGUUACCCGCGCCGUUCUCAGCCAUCCGUGACCGAAAAUCGUUGAUCGCCUUCAUCGCACCAUGACCGUUGAUCACCUUCAUCGCCGUCAUCCUCAUCUGUGUAAGCGAAUGACCGUCGCACCCAUGCCGUUCGUGUAACCCUCGCACCUGACCGUCGAACCCUAUUGCUGUUUCUCAACCAUCGCCAUUCAACGCAACCCUCGUUGGCCCUCUGUCUCUGUGUCACCAUCAACGCAACCCUCGUUGGCCCUCCCUCAACGCAGCGGUCUCUGUCUCUCGCAAACCCUGGAUCAAGUACUUCCUGCGGACCUGAAAGGAGAAAGUUUCUCUGGUCUUUUAGGAACUCAUUACAGGUUUGUUGCAUCAGCCCAUCAAUUGGUGUGGAAGUUCCAUUAGUAAAUGAUUUAGGAUAUACAAAGGAGAUAUGUGCGCUGCCUAUAGAUAUCAGAAGUGGUAAAUAGUAUGAAGGACUUGAUAGAUUACAGCAGAGAGACAGGGACUGGACCCAUGGUUGCCCCUACUGCAUAAAGAUCUUUUUGCAUCUGGAUUACGCAAGAGAUCCAGCGUUCUUCUGUACGAUCCUCUUGGAACUGGCAGAACAUUAUUAGCAAAAGUUGUUGCUACUGAAUGUGUUAACUUGAUAUUGGGAUAAUAACAAGUUCAAAUGGAAGCAUGCUUGGUCAGAUGUGAGCAUCAGGAAUGUAACUAAGGAUCUUUUUACAAUUUUGGGAAAAGAAAGGCAGUGAUAAAAACAAUGGAGCUCAUAAUGGAUGAUCACACUACUCAUGAAAUUUCAUAUUUUGUAACUAAGUAUAUAAAAGAAGUAGAUAUGUGACAUUUGUUGGAAU